rnacentral:lncRNA from 1 species
GGGCGGUGCCGGGGCGGCGGAGGACGGCUUCAGGCCCAAAGGGGAUUGGGCGGCGGCUCUAGGUGGCGGGUCUUGGUUUGCGGAAGGGGCUGGAGUCGCUGCUUCUCGGUGACCGGCGCGUGGCCCGGCCAAUCCUGCCGCCGCCACCCACCCGCAACCGCGUCCGUUGACGGUCGGGUCCUUGGUCGCCGGGUCCUUGCGGGCACCACAGAGCGGGGUGGCGUCCGCUCCCUCGAGUCCUCGGUGCCAGGGAAUUCACCGCUCACCACCCCCUGCCCCGCCUUGGGUCCUGCUCGGGGACCAAACCACUGGAAGGCAGUGGCGGGAAACGGGCGCCUGUGCCGGAGAUAAUCCUGAUGUAAACCAUUGACAUAGCCAGAAAAUCACCAGGCUGUGAUUUUCCAAACUCAGCUUCAUAACCUAUUCUGUAGUUGAGGGAACAUGAGCCAUUUGCAGAGCUUAUUGUUAGA